UACGUAGGCAGCGAGCGUUGUUCGGAAUUACUGGGCGUAAAGAGUGUGUAGGCGGUGUUCCAAGUCUGGUGUGAAAUCUCCCGGCUCAACUGGGAGGGUGCGCCGGAAACUGGAAUGCUAGAGGGUGGGAGAGGUAAGCGGAAUUCCUGGUGUAGCGGUGGAAUGCGCAGAUAUCAGGAGGAACACCGGUGGCGAAGGCGGGUCUCUGGGCAGUGAACUGGCGCUGGAGGAGCGAAAGCGUGGGGAGCGAACAGG
rnacentral:rRNA from 1 species